rnacentral:lncRNA from 1 species
UGAACCCAGCCCUUGGUGUUCAAAAUCACUUUUAGGAGAAGUAGAGCUUUUUCUUUCAUGUAUCUGGACCAGUAGUUCACUUACUCUGGAAGUCAGAGGCCCUAUGGACUGCCCAGCCCAGCUGCUGUGGAAUGUGGCAGAGAAAGAGGGUGAGAGGGCCUGAAUGGCUCCCAUGCCAGGAGUAUUAUGCAAACACGGGAGAAAAAACCAUGCCUCCUCUACUGGUCUACAGGAGCACUUGAAAACCUGCUCAUCUGCAAGCAAUGGGGCUCGACUCUACAUCACAGCAGUGGAUACUGCAUCGCCUUCGAGAACCCAAUGACUGAAGGAGAGGUUCUGUCCUGUGCACUUCCCUGGUCCUGUGUAGUCACUAAGCAUCUGAUGCCUGAUCCAGAAGAACAGAGUGACCACCAGCCCAGACUUGGUCACCAAAAGGACUUUCCUAGACUUGGUCACCAACUUCAACUUUCUGAGUUUCCUAUUAAACAGCCUUGGGCAAGCCCCAUGAACCUCUUGUGCUUAUAUUCUUCAUAUGUAAGGGCUGACAGCAGACCCACCUCACAUGGAUAUUGUGAGGGUUAAAGGGAUAACGUAUGGAAAAUAUUUAACCCAGUGCUGGGCACACAUUAAAUGCUAGAUAAAUAACAGCCACGACUCCUGACGCUAUUCAUACAAGUUUCAAGUUUGAUGGCCGAGAUCUGGAGUUUGGAAACUUGCAAGCCUAAUUUACAAGGCUACCACCCCCACCUGUGUUGGAUUCUGCAUGCAGCAGCUACUUCAAUCUUCCAGACUUGAUGCCAUCUUCACUUUAAUAAAUCAGCUUUCC